rnacentral:rRNA from 1 species
CAAUAGCGUAUAUUAAAGUUGUUGCAGUUAAAAAGCUCGUAGUUGGAUUUCUGGUGGGAGCGAUCGGUCUGGCGCUUAGCGCGAGUACUUGCAUCGUCUCCGGCCAUCCUUGGGGAGAGUCUGUCUGGCAUUAGGUUGUCGGGCAGAGGAUCCUCAUCGUUUACUGUGAAAAAAUUAGAGUGUUCAAAGCAGGCUUAUGCCGUUGAAUAUAUUAGCAUGGAAUAAUAAGAUAGGACUUUGGUACUAUUUUGUUGGUUUGCGCACCAAAGUAAUGAUUAAUAGGGACAGUUGGGGGUAUUCGUAUUCCGUUGUCAGAGGUGAAAUUCUUGGAUUUACGGAAGACGAACUACUGCGAAAGCAUUUACCAAGGAUGUUUCCAUUA